rnacentral:rRNA from 1 species
AUAAGUUGACAAGAGCAUCGGGUGGAUGCCUUGGCGUCAGAAGGCGAUGAAAGACGUGGCAAGCUGCGAUAAGCCUCGGGGAGGAGCUAAACAUCCUUUGAGCCGGGGAUUUCUGAAUGGGGAAACCCAGCGGGAGUCAUGUCCCGUUAACAUUCACUGAAUUCAUAGGUGACUGUGGCUAACGCAGGGAAGUGAAACAUCUCAGUACCUGCAGGAAGAGAAAUCAAUCGAGAUUCCCCAAGUAGCGGCGAGCGAACGGGGAAGAGCCCAAACCGCGCGGAUUCGUCCGUACGGGGUUGUAGGGCCGGAAUGACCGAUUCACGCGUAACCAGAAGAAGUGAGCAGGAAAGCUCCGCCAGAGAGGGUGACAGUCCCGUAUUCGAAAGUGAGAGUGACGGUUCCGGUACCUGAGUACUGCGAGACACGUGAAAUCUCGUGGGAAUCCGGGAGGACCAUCUCCUAAGGCUAAAUACUAACUGACGACCGAUAGUGUACCAGUACCGUGAGGGAAAGGUGAAAAGAACCCCUGUCAGGGGAGUGAAAGAGAAUCUGAAACCUGGUGCUUACAAGCUGUGGGAGCCGUACUUGUACGGUGACCAUGUGCCUUUUGCAUAAUGAGUCAGCGAGUUAAUCUGUACAGCAAGGUUAAGCGUAAGUGAAGCCGCAGCGAAAGCGAGUCCGAACAGGGCCACAGUUGUGCGGAUUAGACCCGAAACCGGGUGAUCUAUCCAUGAGCAGGUUGAAGCAAGGGUAAAGCCUUGUGGAGGACCGAACCAGUUCUGGCUGAAAACAGUUUGGAUGACUUGUGGAUAGGGGUGAAAGGCCAAUCAAACCCGGUGAUAGCUGGUUCUCCCCGAAAUAUAUUGAGGUAUAGCCUUGCGGAUUGUCUUAUGGAGGUAAAGCUCUGACAGAACUAGGGGUCCUAUCCGACUACCGAAUUCUUUCAAACUCUGAAUACCAUUAAGAUUUACCGCAGGAGUCAGACGGCGGGUGCUAAGGUUCGUCGUCAAAAGGGCAACAGCCCAGACCGACAGCUAAGGCCUCCAAAUGCAUGCUCAGUGGUUAAGGUGGUGGCGUUGUGUAGACACCCAGGACGUUGGCUUAGAAGCAGCCAUCGUUUAAAGAAAGCGUAAUAGCUCACUGGUUCAAUGGCGCUGCGCCGAAAAUGUAACGGGGCUAAGCAUGCUGCCGAAGCUUCGGAUUUGUCUCUGACAACUGGUAGGGGAGCGUUCUCUGCGGGCUGAAGCGGAACCGAAAGGUUUCGUGGACUGCAGAGAAGUGAUUAUGCUGACAUGAGUAACGAUAAAAUAUGUGAAAAACAUAUUCGCCGUAAAUCCAAGGUUUCCUGGGUAAAGGUAAUCUUCCCAGGGUUAGUCGGACCCUAAGGCCAGGCUGAAAGGCGUAGCUGAUGGGAAACGGGUUAAUAAUCCUGUACUUGUGCGAUUGUGCGAAGAAGGGACGCAGGAUGGUAGACAGGCCGGUUUUUGGAAUCCGGUGCAAGUGCGUAGGCGUGCUCCGCAGGCAAAUCCGCGGAGAUGAGCCGAGACACGAGUCCGUGGGCGUAAGCCCUGAAGCUGUUGAGCCACGGCUGCCAAGAAAAGCUUCUAAGUUUAGAUCGCGCGAACCGUACCGCAAACCAACUCAGGUGGAUGGGAUGAAUAAUCCAAGGCGCUCGAGAGAACUCUGGCCAAGGAACUCGGCAAAUUGACCCCGUACCUUCGGAAUAAGGGGUGCUCCCCACGGUGAGACAAAUUCUUGUUCAGCCCCGGGGAGCCGCAGAGAAAUGGUGGUGGCGACUGUUUACUAAAAACAUAGGUCUGUGCGAAGUCCUACAGACGACGUAUACGGACUGACGCCUGCCCGGUGCCGGAAGGUUAAAAGGAGGAGUCAGCGCAAGCGAAGCUCCGAUUUGAAGCCCCGGUAAACGGCGGCCGUAACUAUAACGGUCCUAAGGUAGCGAAAUUCCUUGUCGGGCAAGUUCCGACCUGCACGAAUGGCGUAACGAUCUCCACGCUGUCUCGGCCAGAGACUCGGUGAAAUUGAAGUCGCGGUGAAAAUGCCGUGUACCCGCAGAAAGACGGAAAGACCCUGUGCACCUUUACUAUAGCUUGACAUUGGGUUUUGAACCUGCAUGUGUAGGAUAGGUGGGAGGCUGUGAAAGCUGUACGCCAGUAUGGCCGGAGCCACCCGUGAAAUACCACCCUUGUUUGUUCAGGACCCUAACUCGCAGCUGUAAUCCAGCGCGAAGACAGUGUCUGGUGGGUAGUUUGACUGGGGCGGUCGCCUCCUAAAGAGUAACGGAGGCAUGCAAAGGUUCCCUCAGGCUGAUUGGAAACCAGCCGUUGAGUGCAAGCGCAUAAGGGAGCUUGACUGCAAGAGAGACAUCUCGAACAGAUACGAAAGUAGGUGCUAGUGAUCCGGUGGUCCCGAAUGGAAGGGCCAUCGCUCAUUGGAUAAAAGGUACGCCGGGGAUAACAGGCUGAUCGCAUCCAAGAGUUCACAUCGACGAUGCGGUUUGGCACCUCGAUGUCGGCUCAUCACAUCCUGGGGCUGAAGCAGGUCCCAAGGGUACGGCUGUUCGCCGUUUAAAGUGGUACGCGAGCUGGGUUUAAAACGUCGUGAGACAGUUUGGUCCCUAUCUUCUGUGGGCGUAGGAGAAUUGAGAGGGUUUGUCCCUAGUACGAGAGGACCGGGAUGAACGCACCACUGGUGGAUCAGUUGUCGCGCCAGCGGCAUAGCUGAGUAGCUAUGUGCGGAAUGGAUAACCGCUGAAAGCAUCUAAGCGGGAAGCCAGCCUCGAGAUAAGUUCUCCCUGUCGCAAGACACUAAAGGGCCGAUGAAGACUACAUCGUUGAUAGGCCGGAGGUGGAAGCGCUGCGAAGCGUGGAGCUGACCGGUACUAAUAGCCCGUGCGCCUUAUAUUU